UUUUUUCCAUUUAGCCAGCAUUAGGGUUUUAAAUCAUAAACUGAGUUUUUCCAUGCAAUCAGCAUUAGGGUUUUAAACCCUAAACUGAAUUUUCCCUUAGUCAGCAUUAGGGUUUUAAACCCUAAACUGAAUUUUUCCAUUCAGCCAGCAUUAGGGUUUUAAACCCUAAACUGAAUUUUUCCUUUAGUCAGCAUUAGGGUUUUAAACCCUAAACUAAACUUUUUCCCCUUCAGCCAGCAUUAGGGUUUUAAACCCUAAACUGAACUCUUUCCCUUUAGUCAGCAGUUAGGGUUUUAAACCCUAAACUGAACUUUUUCCUUUAAUCAGCAUUAGGGUUUUAAACCCUAAACUGAACUUUUCCUUUUAGUCAGCAUUAGGGGUUUUAAACACUAAACUGAACUUUUUCCAUUCAUCCAGCAUUAGGGUUUUAAACCCUAAAUUGAACUUUUUCCAUUCAGCCAGCAUUAUGGUUUUAAACCCUAAACUAAGCUUUUUCCUUUAGUCAGCAUUAGGGUUUUAAACCCUAAACUGAGCUUUUUCCUUUAGUCAGCAUUAGGGUUUUAAACCCUAAACUGAACUUUUUCCAUUCAGCCAGCAUUAGGGUUUUAAACCCUAAACAGAGCUUUUCCAUGCAAUCAGCAUUAGGGUUUUAAACCCUAAACUGAACUUUUUUCCAUUCAGCCAGCAUUAGGGUUUUAAACCCUAAACUGAGCUUUUCCAUGCAAUCAGCAUUAGGGUUUUAAACCCUAAACUGAGCUUUUCCAUGCAAUCAGCAUUAGGGUUUUAAACCCUAAACUGAACUUUUUCCUUUCAGUCAACAUUAGGGUUUUAAACCCUAAACUGAACUUUUUUCCAUUCAGCCAGCAUUAGGGUUUUAAACCCUAAACUAAGCUUUUCCAUGCAAUCAUCAUUAGGGUUUUAAACCCUAAACUGAAUUUUUCCUUUAGUCAGCAUUAGGGUUUUAAACCCUAAACUGAGUUUUUCAAUGCAAUCAGCAUUAGGGUUUUAAACCCUAAACUGAACUUUUUUCCAUUUAGCCAGCAUUAGGGUUUUAAACCCUAAACUGAGCUUUUCCAUGCAAUCAGCAUUAGGGUUUUAAACCCUAAACUGAACUUUUUUCCAUUCAGCCAGCAUUAUGGUUUUAAACCCUAAACUGAGCUUUUCCAUGCAAUCAUCAUUAGGGUUUUAAACCCUAAACUGAACUUCUUCCUUUAGUCAGCAUUAGGGUUUUAAACCCUAAACUGAACUUUUUUCCAUUCAGUCAGCAUUAGGGUUUUAAAACCUAAACUGAACUUUUUCCUUUAAUCAGCAUUAGGGUUUUAAACCCUAAACUGAACUUUUUUCCAUUUAGCCAGCAUUAGGGUUUUAAACCCUAAACUGAGCUUUUCCAUGCAAUUAGCGUUAGGGUUUUAAACCCUAAACUGAACUCUUUCCUUUCAGUUAGCAUUAGGGUUUUAAACCCUAACUGAACUUUUUUCCAUUCAGCCAGCAUUAGGGUUUUAAACCCUAAACUGAGCUUUUCCAUGCAAUCAGCAUUAGGGUUUUAAACCCUAAACUGAACUUUUUUCCAUUCAGCCAACAUUAUGGUUUUAAACCCUAAACUGAGUUUUUCCAUGCAAUCAUCAUUAGGGUUUUAAACCCUAAACUGAAUUUUUCCUUUAGUCAGCAUUAGGGUUUUAAACCCUAAACUGAACUUUUUUCCAUUCAGUCAGCAUUAGGGUUCUAAACCAUAAACUGAACUUUUCCUUUAGUCAGCAUUAGGGUUUUAAUCCCUAAACUGAGUUUUUCCAUGCAAUCAGCAUUAGGGUUUUAAACCCUAAACUGAACUUUUUUCCAUUUAGCCAGCAUUAGGGUUUUAAACCCUAAACUGAGCUUUUCCAUGCAAUCAGCAUUAGGGUUUUAAACCCUAAACCGAACUUUUUCCAUUCAGCCAGCAUUAGG
rnacentral:lncRNA from 1 species